GCGGACAUAACUCAGCUGGUAGAGUGUUAGCUUCCCAAGCUAAAUGCCGCGGGUUCGAAUCCCGUUGUCCGCU
rnacentral:tRNA from 2 species